rnacentral:rRNA from 1 species
AACGAACGCUGGCGGCAUGCCUAACACAUGCAAGUCGAACGAGACCUUCGGGUCUAGUGGCGCACGGGUGCGUAACGCGUGGGAACCUGCCCUUAGGUUCGGAAUAACUCCCCGAAAGGGGUGCUAAUACCGGAUAAUGUCUUCGGACCAAAGAUUUAUCGCCUUUGGAUGGGCCCGCGUUGGAUUAGCUAGUUGGUAGGGUAAAAGCCUACCAAGGCGACGAUCCAUAGCUGGUCUGAGAGGAUGAUCAGCCACACUGGGACUGAGACACGGCCCAGACUGCUACGGGAGGCAGCAGUGGGGAAUAGUGGACGAUGGGCGAAAGCGUGAUAAAGCAGUGCCGCGUGAGAGAUGAAGGGCUUAGGGUGGUAAAGAUCUUUUAACAGGGAUGAGAAUGACAGGAAAGGGAGAAAAGGAGGAGGAGAGCUCAGGG